AUUCAGUACCGUCAGACAUCUGAAAAUUCUCAAAUAAGGUUAAAUGAUCCUGUAGCACGCAAACAUGGUUUGUUGAAAAAUGUUGGUGUACAUAAGAGUUCACAACUGUCUCCUAUCUCCAGAAUUCUGUAUAAGCAAGCUUUGUAUUACGAGAAGAAAGCUUCCAUACUCUCCAAACGGAAAAUGGAUUGACAACGUAAAAUCCAAACUAUCGAAAAAUGGUCAAAAGAAAAAUGCUUUCAAAAUUUGACCAAACAAUUUAACCAUCCUGCAGUUCACUUUUUCAAAAGACAGGUUGAAUCAUUUGGCAAAAAGGCUAAAGGUAGAAGAUUUGACAUUGAAGAUAAAUUUCUUGCCCUUGCCCUUUACAAGCAGAGUAACGCAGCAUACAAAUUACUAUCCUCUUUGUUUAUUUUACCUUCAAGAGUAACUUUACAAAAAGUGUUGUCAAGAAUUCCCAUUUCUUCGGGAAUUCAUGAUGCUGUUUUUAAAGUUUUAAGUUCAGCUAGUAAAAAAAUUAAACCCAACAAUAAGUUCUGUGUACUAAUGUUUGAUGAAAAGUCAGUUGAGCCUAAUUUACAUUAUAAUCAAUUUCUGGAUGAGGUUGAUGGCCUUGAAGAUUUUGUCGGGGAAAAGUUUGAAAAAAUUGCAAAUUAUGUUCAGGUAAGGCAGCCAUAAAUACGUCAUAUACCGGGUGACCACUAGAUUACUACCCAAGCUCUAGCUUAGGCACGAAAAAAGAUAUCGAUUUAAAAUUUUUGGCAUGCGUAUCAUUGAAUUUGAUGCAAAAUUUAAUAAAAACAACUGACCGCCACUUCCUAUUUGACCGAAAAUGCCAUAAACUUUGUUAUUUCAUAUGGAACUCCUUGUAUAUUAUUUUUGUUUUCAAUUCUGCUGAAGAAACUAACACUAAAAUAUGUAUUAUGUCCUAUACCUAUCUUUGUCAGUUUCCGAGAAAAUUGCGCUUUAAAAUGGCUAAUUUGUCAUUUAUAAAAUCCUUUUGAAAGAAAACAAACGAAGAAAGGGACAAAGUUAUAUGGUAUCUUUAACUUAUUUUAGAAGUACUAAAGUCUGAUAUCAUAAAAAUGUUGCACUUCCGGCACAUCCGGAAUAGAUAUUUUAAUGAAACGAAAAAAAUAUUUAAAAAGAAAUGAUAAUAUAUCCAAAGCUUUAUAAAAAAUGUUUUUUAUAUUGCAAGAGGGUACACACUUAAAAUAGAAUCUUUAUUUUAUAAGAUUUGUAUGCAAGAUCACAUAUAAAUAAAAUACUUAUAAGGUUUGUUCCAACGGUUGCGGUUGCAGGUAGUUUGUGAAUUGUCAAUUUCCGCAGUUGAUUGUUGUGAUCUUUUAAAAUAUACAUUUUAUCUUAAUAAUAAUGAGUACUAACAUUUUGAAGUGAAAUAAUACUUUUUAUCGGAUUUGUUAAUAUAUAAGCUGAUACAAUUUAAUAUCUAGAGAUAUUAGUAGAUA